rnacentral:lncRNA from 1 species
UGUGCGUGCAAAAGCCGGGUUUCCCCCCAGAGCUUGUACUCCGAAACUUCGCUAUUCGGUGAAAUUCUGAGCACCAGGAAGCUUUGGUUUUUCCAGGAAGGCGUGAAUAUUCUGGGGUUUUUUUCACAUUUUCAGGGAAGGAUUAACGUGAGAGCUCCGGGUACUGUGUUUAGGUCUUAUUUUGUUGUAAAUGGUUAAUUUGGCAGGAUCUGUGGUUUAUUGCUCUAAGUGCAGUGAGCCUGGAAUAAAUGGAAUGGUUCUCAUUGAAUAGAAAAGUUCAAGAUCGCUACUCAUUCUAUCAGAUAAUCUUUCAAGUACCAGCAAUUUUUAUUUGUAUGUAUUUCCUUAUAACCUCUAUAAGGUAACUAAGCUGAGCAUGGAUAUUAUGUUUCUGUAAAACUGUUCAUUUUUCAGACGGAAGAACAAAUACAAUUAGGGUUUUUUUGUAUUUACCAAGUAAUUAGGUGCAGAUGUUUUUGCACUGCCACUUCAAAAGUCACCUUGCUCUGUCAAGGUUAUGAUGUGUCCACCAAGCAAUGAAGAUAAAAUAAAAUUCUGCAAAGAGUCUGAGAGUUUUUAAUGUCCUCUUGGCUUAAAAUGAGUUGGGAUUGUUUGGUGGUAAUUUUUCUUUCUUUUAUCCUUAAACAUAUUAAAGAGAAAAAUGAAAAUAACUUAUUUUGAUUAUCUAAAUGCUCCUUUUACAAAAGGGGACGCUUUAGAACGCUUGUCUACAAAAAGAAGUGAGCUGAAACAUUGUGCUAAUAGGAUUUGCAGCAUAAAAUAUGGCUAAUUUCUCUUGUAUGACUACAGGUGGCAGUGUAGAAGCCAAGAACAAAAAUUGGCAGAAAUUGUGUUCUGUGUACGAGAAUAUGAAGAGUGUACUCAUGACUAAGCACAGGAACCUGGAAAACCACAGGAUUGUAUUGAAAAUGGUUUGUGGGAACCUGAGGAAUGGAUUAGAGAUGCUGAAUGGAAGGCAGAGAAGUUAUUAACAUUUCCCAAAAUAAAUAAAUACUUUAACCUUUCA